rnacentral:rRNA from 1 species
UACGAAGGGGCUAGCGUUGCUCGGAAUUACUGGGCGUAAAGCGCACGUAGGCGGCUUUCUAAGUCGGGGGUGAAAUCCUGGAGCUCAACUCCAGAACUGCCCUUCGAUACUGGAGAGCUCGAGUCCGGGAGAGGUGAGUGGAACUGCGAGUGUAGAGGUGAAAUUCGUAGAUAUUCGCAAGAACACCAGUGGCGAAGGCGGCUCACUGGCCCGGUACUGACGCUGAGGUGCGAAAGCGUGGGGAGCAACAGGG